rnacentral:rRNA from 1 species
GAUGAACGCUGGCGGCGUGCCUAAUACAUGCAAGUCGAGCGAACAGACGAGGAGCUUGCUCCUCUGACGUUAGCGGCGGACGGGUGAGUAACACGUGGAUAACCUACCUAUAAGACUGGGAUAACUUCGGGAAACCGGAGCUAAUACUGGAUAAUAUAUUGAACCGCAUGGUUCAAUAGUGAAAGACGGUUUUGCUGUCACUUAUAGAUGGAUCCGCGCCGCAUUAGCUAGUUGGUAAGGUAACGGCUUACCAAGGCAACGAUGCGUAGCCGACCUGAGAGGGUGAUCGGCCACACUGGAACUGAGACACGGUCCAGACUUCUACGGGAGGCAGCAGUAGGGAAUCUUCCGCAAUGGGCGAAAGCCUGACGGAGCAACGCCGCGUGAGUGAUGAAGGUCUUCGGAUCGUAAAACUCUGUUAUUAGGGAAGAACAAAUGUGUAAGUAACUAUGCACGUCUUGACGGUACCUAAUCAGAAAGCCACGGCUAACUACGUG